rnacentral:rRNA from 1 species
CUCUUAAAAAUUUUUAAGUAAUCUCUGCCCCAUGAUUCUAUUAAAUGGCCGCAGUAUUUUGACUGUGCAAAGGUAGCAUAAUCAUUUGUUUUUUAAUUGAAAACUGGAAUGAAAGAGUCGACGAAAAGUAGUCUUUUGAUUGAUGAAGUUAAGUUGACAUAAGAGUAAAAAGGCUCUUAUAUAUCAGAGGGACGAUAAGACCCUAUAAAACUUUACCUUAAAACUUUAUUCUCAAGGGUGAGCGAAGGGAAAGGUUGAGCUGGGGCGGUGUUUAUAAAAACUGUAAAAAAGGAAAAUAUGAAUAAUAAGGUUAAAGAACUUUUUUAAAGAUUGAACAAGUUACUUUAGGGAUAACAGCAUAAUUUUCCUAGAGAGCCCGUAUCGGCAGGAGAGUUUAUGACCUCGAUGUUGAAUUGAAAAUACCUUGUGUAAGCAGAGA